rnacentral:rRNA from 1 species
GAUGAACGCUAGCGGCAGGCUUAAUACAUGCAAGUCGUGGGGCAGCAGGUUUGUAGCAAUACAGAUGCUGGCGACCGGCAAACGGGUGCGGAACACGUACAGAACCUUCCUUUGAGCGGGGAAUAGCCCAGAGAAAUUUGGAUUAAUACCCCCAUAGUAUAAUGAAGUGGCAUCACUUUAUUAUUAAAGAUUUAUCACUCGAAGAUGGCUGUGCGGCUGAUUAGGUAGUUGGCGGGUAAAGGCCCACCAAGCCUGCGAUCAGUAACUGGUGUGAGAGCACGACCAGUCACACGGGCACUGAGACACGGGCCCGACUCCUACGGGGAGGCAGCAGUAAGGAAUAUUGGUCAAUGGAGGCAACUCUGAACCAGCCAUGCCGCGUGGAGGAUGAAGGUCCUCUGGAUUGUAAACUUCUUUUAUAUGGGACGAAAAAAGGCUUUUCUAAGUCGUCUGACGGUACCAUAUGAAUAAGCACCGGCUAAACUCCCGUUGCCAGCAGCCGCGGU